rnacentral:snRNA from 1 species
AUACCUACCUGACUAGGGUAGGUGGUUUUCCCAGGGUGAGGCAUGUCCAUUGCACUUGGAGUAGGAUGAUCCUUGCAAUUUUCUCCAAAUGUGGGAUAUUCCACUUCAUAAUGUGUGGUCAUGGGGGUGGAGACUGUAUUCACACUCUGC